AAGAAAUAGAGACCAUUCGAAACAGGGGAAGGAAAAAGAAAGAAAGAAAGAAAAGAAAAAGGAAAAACUAGGGUUUAAGGAUUUAAGCUUUAAUUUGCUAACAAAGAACUUGAGGCAUCGGCAUCGAAAGGAAAGGAGAAAGCUAUCGAGGACUAAAAUGGGAGAUUUACGGUUUGUAUUACUAUAAUUCAAAUUACUUCUUAUUAAAUGCUAUAUUUAAAUUUAUAUGUAUGGUGAGUGAAAUAUAAGGUAAGUAUUAUUAUUAAGUUGAAAGAAAUGCAAUUGAAUGAUGAAUAUAUGUGUGGAAUUG
rnacentral:lncRNA from 1 species